UACAGAGGAGCCAAGCGUUGUCCGGAUUGACUGGGCGUAAAGCGCACGCAGGCGGACGCGCGCGUGGGGUGUGAAAUCUGGCCGCUUAACGGCCAGGCGCCAUCCCAUACGGCGCGUCUGGAGCCAUGCAGAGGUCGGUGGAAUUGCCGGUGUAGUGGUGAAAUGCGUAGAUAUCGGGAGGAACACCAGUGGCGAAGGCGGCUAUCUGGGCUGAAACUGACGCUGAGGCGCGAAGGCUAGGGGAGCAAACAGG
rnacentral:rRNA from 1 species